AACCCCUCGCAUUCAGUUGCCAUCGGUAAGGCCGGGCACUCUGGAUGGACUGCCGGCGACAAGCCGGAGGAAGGUGGGGACGGCGUCAAGUCAUCAUGGCCCUUAUGUCCAGGGCGACACACGUGCUACAAUGGCCGGCACAACGGGAAGCGAAGGGGCGACCCUGAGCGGAUCCCCAUAAAAGCCGGUCCCAGUUCGGAUUGCAGUCUGCAACUCGACUGCAUGAAGUUGGAAUCGCUAAUAAUCGUGGAUCAGCCAAGCCGCGGUGAAUACGUUCCCGGGCCUU
rnacentral:rRNA from 1 species